rfam:Oryza rufipogon genomic scaffold, chr07
GAUAUCAACUGAAAAAGUCAUCAACAACAAAAUUGAAUAAUCAUCAAUAUCUAAAACUUUUAUUUUGGUCAUUUCUUCAUACGACAAAGUGAUAGUAACAUUGUUCACAAAAUUGACAUAUCUCUUAUCUGGUUUUAUAAACUAUAACACAUAUAUGUAAAAUUUGUGAAUAAUAUUACUAACAUUUCGUCAGAUGAAGAAAUAACAAAAAUAAAAGUUUUAGAUCUUGAUGAGUUAUUCAACUUUGUUGUUGAUGACUUUUUCAAUUGAAAUC